AUCCAGCUGACGAGUCCCAAAUAGGACAAAAUGCGCAUCAAACUGGAU
rnacentral:hammerhead_ribozyme from 1 species